UACGUAGGGGGCAAGCGUUGUCCGGAAUCAUUGGGCGUAAAGAGCGCGUAGGCGGUCCGAUAAGUCGGUUGUGAAAACUGGGGGCUCAACCCUCAGAGGCCGACCGAUACUGUCGGGCUAGAGUCCGGAAGAGGCGAGUGGAAUUCCUGGUGUAGCGGUGAAAUGCGCAGAUAUCGGGAGGAACACCUAUGGCGAAGGCAGCUCGCUGGGACGUUACUGACGCUGAGACGCGAAAGCGUGGGGAGCAAACAGG
rnacentral:rRNA from 1 species